GACGAACGCUGGCGGCGUGCUUAACACAUGCGAGUCGAACGGAGAUUCAGCAAUGGAUCUUAGUGGCGAACGGGUGAGUAACGCGUAGGCAAUCUGCCUUCUAGAUGGGGACAACAUCCCGAAAGGGGUGCUAAUACCGAAUGUUGUAGUUGGUUCGCAUGGACUAGCUACUAAAGGUGGCCUCUGAAUAUGCUACCGCUAGAAGAUGAGCCUGCGUCUGAUUAGCUAGUUGGAGGGGUAACGGCCCACCAAGGCUUCGAUCAGUAGCCGGUCUGAGAGGAUGAACGGCCACACUGGGACUGAGACACGGCCCAGACUCCUACGGGAGGCAGCAGUGGGGAAUCUUCCGCAAUGGACGAAAGUCUGACGGAGCAACGCCGCGUGAGUGAAGAAGGUUUUCGGAUCGUAAAGCUCUUUCGUUAGGGACGAACGUGCUCUUUGUGAAUAAUGAGGAGUAAUGACGGUACCUAAAUAAGAAGCCACGGCUAACUACGUGCCAGCAGCCGCGGUAACAC
rnacentral:rRNA from 1 species